rnacentral:rRNA from 1 species
AACGAACGCUGGCGGCAUGCCUAACACAUGCAAGUCGAACGAGACCAUCGGGUCUAGUGGCGCAUGGGUGCGUAACGCGUGGGAACCUGCCCUUAGGUUCGGAAUAACUCCCCGAAAGGGGUGCUAAUACCGGAUAAUGUCUUCGGCCCAAAGAUUUAUCGCCUUUGGAUGGGCCCGCGUUGGAUUAGCUAGUUGGUAGGGUAAAAGCCUACCAAGGCGACGAUCCAUAGCUGGUCUGAGAGGAUGAUCAGCCACACUGGGACUGAGACACGGCCCAGACUCCUACGGGAGGCAGCAGUGGGGAAUAGUGGACAAUGGGCGAAAGCCUGAUCCAGCAAGGCCGCGUGAGUGAUGAAGGCCUUAGGGUUGUAAAGCUCUUUUACCCGGGAUGAUAAUGACAGUACCGGGAGAAUAAGCUCCGGCUAACUCCGUG